rnacentral:rRNA from 1 species
GGUAAUACGUAGGUGGCAAGCGUUGUCCGGAUUUAUUGGGCGUAAAGGGAACGCAGGCGGUCUUUUAAGUCUGAUGUGAAAGCCUUCGGCUUAACCGAAGUCGGGCAUUGGAAACUGGGAGACUUGAGUGCAGAAGAGGAGAGUGGAACUCCAUGUGUAGCGGUGAAAUGCGUAGAUAUAUGGAAGAACACCAGUGGCGAAAGCGGCUCUCUGGUCUGUAACUGACGCUGAGGUUCGAAAGCGUGGGUAGCAAACAGGAUUAGAUACCCUGGUAGUCCACGCCGUAAACGAUGAAUGCUAAGUGUUGGAGGGUUUCCGCCCUUCAGUGCUGCAGCUAACGCAUUAAGCACUCCGCCUGGGGAGUACGACCGCAAGGUUGAAACUCAAAGGAAUUGACGGGGGCCCGCACAAGCGGUGGAGCAUGUGGUUUAAUUCGAUGCUACGCGAAGAACCUUACCAGGUCUUGACAUCUUCUGCUAACCUAAGAGAUUAGGCGUUCCCUUCGGGGACGGAAUGACAGGUGGUGCAUGGUUGUCGUCAGCUCGUGUCGUGAGAUGUUGGGUUAAGUCCCGCAACGAGCGCAACCCUUAUUGUCAGUUGCCAGCAUUUAGUUGGGCAUUCUGGCGAGACUGCCGGUGACAAACCGGAGGAAGGUGGGGAUGACGUCAAAUCAUCAUGCCCCUUAUGACCUGGGCUACACACGUGCUACAAUGGACGGUACAACGAGUCGCGAAACCGCGAGGUCAAGCUAAUCUCUUAAAGCCGUUCUCAGUUCGGAUUGCAGGCCGCAACUCGCCUGCAUGAAGUUGGAAUCGCUAGUAAUCGUGGAUCAGCAUGCCACGGUGAAUACGUUCCCGGGCCUUGUACACACCGCCCGUCACACCAUGAGAGUUUGUAACACCCAAAGCCGGUGAGGUAACCUUCGGGAACCAGCCGUCUAAGGUGGGACAGAUGAUUAGGGUGAAGUCGUAACAAGGUAGCCGUAGGAGAACCUGCGGCUGGAUCACCUCCUUUCUAA